AGAGUUUGAUCCUGGCUCAGGACGAACGCUGGCGGCGUGCUUAAGACAUGCAAGUCGUGCGGAAAGGCUCCUUCGGGAGCACUCGAGCGGCGCACGGGUGAGUAACGCGUGGGUAAUCUGCCUAAGGGCUCGGGACAACUCCGGGAAACUGGAGCUAAUACCGGAUAAGACCACGGGGCCUUCGGGUCCUGCGGAAAAAGGUGGCCUCUGCUCGCAAGCUACUGCCCAUUGAUGAGCCCGCGUCCCAUUAGCUAGUUGGUGGGGUAACGGCCUACCAAGGCGACGAUGGGUAGCUGGUCUGAGAGGAUGAUCAGCCACACUGGAACUGAGACACGGUCCAGACUCCUACGGGAGGCAGCAGUCGGGAAUUUUGGGCAAUGGGCGAAAGCCUGACCCAGCAACGCCGCGUGAGGGAUGAAGGCCCUCGGGUCGUAAACCUCUGUCGGGAGGGGAGAACGGUCGCGAUUCGAACAGGAUUGCGGCCUGACGGUACCUCCAAAGGAAGCACCGGCUAACUCCGUGCCAGCCGCCGCGGUAAUAC
rnacentral:rRNA from 1 species